AGAGUUUGAUCCUGGCUCAGAGUUAACGCUGGCGGCGUGCCUAACACAUGCAAGUCGAGCGAAGAGUACCAGAGUACCGGGCUCUUAGCGGCAGACGGGUGAGUAAUACUUAAACAAUCUGCCCUCGAAUGGGAGACAACCAAGCGAAAGUUUGGCUAAUACCCCAUACAAUCUUCUCCAGGCAUCUGGAGGGGAUGAAAGGCCCGCAAGGGUCGUUCGAGGAGGAGUUUGAGUCCUAUCAGCUAGUUGGCGGUGUAACAGACCACCAAGGCUAUGACGGGUAGCCGAUCUAAAAGGAUGACCGGCCACAAGGGCACUGAGACACGGGCCCUACUCCUACGGGAGGCAGCAGUGGGGAAUUUUGGACAAUGGACGAAAGUCUGAUCCAGCGACGCCGCGUGAAGGACGAAGGUUUUCGGAUCGUAAACUUCUUUUGCAGGGGACGAAUACGCGCAAGCGUUUGACGGUACUCUGCGAAUAAGCCACGGCUAACUACGUGCCAGCAGCCGCGGUAAUACGUAGGUGGCGAGCGUUACUCGGAAUUACUAGGCGUAAAGCGCGUGUAGGCGGGAGCUUAAGUUUGCUGUUAAAUCUCACGGCUCAACCGUGAAAUGCCGGCGAAUACUGGGCUUCUUGAAUUCGGUAGAGGAAACUGGAAUUCCAGGUGUAGCGGUGAAAUGCGUAGAUAUUACACAGAACACCAAUUGCGAAGGCAGCUUACUAAACUGUUACUGACGCUGAUGCACGAAAGCGUGGGGAGCGAACAGGAUUAGAUACCCUGGUAGUCC
rnacentral:rRNA from 1 species